rnacentral:rRNA from 1 species
GCUCAGAACGAACGCUGGCGGCAGGCUUAACACAUGCAAGUCGAACGCCCCGCAAGGGGAGUGGCAGACGGGUGAGUAACGCGUGGGAACAUACCCUUUCCUGCGGAAUAGCUCCGGGAAACUGGAAUUAAUACCGCAUACGCCCUACGGGGGAAAGAUUUAUCGGGGAAGGAUUGGCCCGCGUUGGAUUAGCUAGUUGGUGGGGUAAAGGCCUACCAAGGCGACGAUCCAUAGCUGGUCUGAGAGGAUGAUCAGCCACAUUGGGACUGAGACACGGCCCAAACUCCUACGGGAGGCAGCAGUGGGGAAUAUUGGACAAUGGGCGCAAGCCUGAUCCAGCCAUGCCGCGUGAGUGAUGAAGGCCUUAGGGUUGUAAAGCUCUUUCACCGGAGAAGAUAAU